rnacentral:rRNA from 1 species
UGCAAGUCGAACGGCAGCACAGUAAGAGCUUGCUCUUAUGGGUGGCGAGUGGCGGACGGGUGAGGAAUACAUCGGAAUCUACCUUUUCGUGGGGGAUAACGUAGGGAAACUUACGCUAAUACCGCAUACGACCUUCGGGUGAAAGCAGGGGACCUUC